GGUCUUCAACAUGGUUGGCACUGCCACAGCUACCUUCCUGCAUGCGGCUCAGUGCGACGUAAAUAAUUGGUUCCGGCUAAUAACAAAUCCUCGUCUCGAUUUCAUUGGCUUGUAUCUUGGGCGACGCAAGAAACAUUCUGUAAUGGCUCAAAAUAUCCCUACUGGAUAAUAAUGCAGCGAUGUGGAAGAUGGACCCCAGAGGAGGGCAGAGCAUGGAGGAGCCCGGCCAGGGGAGCCCGACCAGGGGGCCCCCUCAGGUGCCGUGCAGCAGCUGGUGUUGUGAAUCAGGCCGUCACCAGUCGGAGAACGGCUACUUCACAACACCAGGGUCGCACCGCACCACGUUUCAACCGCUGGCCAGAGAGGAGCCGAGGAUCCUGCAGGCAGGCAGGGGAUGUGGAGCACCUCCUGGCUGCCUCUGCCCAAGCCCAGACCUGCAAAGGUAAUCAGGUGCUCAACUCCUAUUUAGGCACCAGCCUCCCACUGAAGUCUGAAAUAGAAGUUAGGCCCCUAAAUAUCUCUGUGGGUCUGGCCCCGAGACCCUGCCUUGCUGUGCAGUGCAGAGCAGUGCUGCAGCAGGCACAGGGCAGUGCUGUCAGUGACACAGUCACUGCCUGUUUGCAUGCCAUGUGAAUGUUAAAUAACAGGUAACUUUUAUUAAGCUGUGGUAAAUAGUAAAAAAAAAAAAAAAGCCUCUGCAUGCUCCAUGUGUAGUUUUCCCUGACAGUCAUGUUUGUGGGUCUUGCCUGUGACUUGUCCUAAUUCCUUCCCUAUCUAGACACCUGAUCACAUGUUCUCUGUAAAACAUUCUGUACAUACCAGGAAAGAAGCCAGACUCCUUGGAAAUGACACCAAAACAGCCCUAGGUGUGUUGUAAUGAAUGAAAAAACACUAAAAAUAAACAGUGGGGUUGUCCAGAAGUGGUACCAACAGCUGCUGUCCUUAAAAUGGAGAAAAUGUUUGAUUUUGGAUUGCUUAAGCAACCCCUCAUAAAUUAAUAGGUGUAGAGGGACAGCAAAGCACACUCAAACGGACCCUGUCUGGAGUGGCCCUGUAACACGUGCCAUACGUUUCAGGUCUGAAAUGCAGGCUCUUCCCUGCCUCCUCCCUUGUACCACAGUGCCAGUGUGAUGUUAGUUUGAGGGCAGCAGCUACAGCAGAGUGCUUUCCACCCAAAACCGGGUCAUGUUCAUGGAGGUCAGCGCAAAGUUUAAGUCAAUCUUCUAAGUCAAACUGAAAUGCUGUUCAGUUUCGAUCUCUGAAAGCAGCCAUCUGCUCUUGGACUCGGGAGGGGGUUUUCUCUGGUGGGUUUUCCCUUCCUCCCACCCCCAAGAUGGACUGGCUGUAUGCUUUGGCUGGCUGUUCUCUUGUAUGACAUGAAACACUGGAUAUGUCUAAAGCAAGGAGUGGAGAAAUGCAGAGAACAAACUAUCAAGGUAACGUAGAACUGAUGAGGGAUUUUUUGAAAGUUUUCUUUGUUAUCUUAACUCAUCUGAUUGAAGCUGGCAGUAAAAAUUAAUGAAAUGCCAUCCUGGGUGUAUGAUUGCUGGCAGGAAGUAGACAUGGGGGAGGGCCAGGAUAUACACAAUAUCAAAAAUAGUAUGGGACAGCCUGGAAUAGCAAACGAGACAAAGGUGGUUACAUUAGACCCAGCCUAAUCUUUCUGUUCAGCUUGGCUUCCCACAGAAGUAACCCUGAAUUCCCUUCACAGCAAAAAGUCCACAACCAACACCAUGAACAAUGUUAAGAGAUGUAUGGGAGGCUCACUUGUAUAUUAGGAGAGGUCAGCCUGUUGAUACAGGCUUGCAUUGGCUUUUUUCAUCGAUUAGAGGAAAAAGCAAGACUCCGUUUCUAGUUCAGGGACUAUGGCAAGGAGAGUAUGAAUUUGUCAACCCAACAUGCAAGAAGUCUGUUUUAUUAAACUUGUUCUCUGCUGACACAAACC